GGCCGUCUGGCGAAAUGGCAUCGCGUCUGACUACGAUAGGGGAUGUUUGGCUCUGUUGCUAUCAGGAGAUUGUAGGUUCGACCCCUACGUCGGUCA